UACGAAGGGGGCUAGCGUUGCUCGGAAUCACUGGGCUUAAAGCGUGUGUAGGCGGGCCGUUAAGUGUCUUGUGAAAUCCCCCGGCUCAACCGGGGAAUUGCUGGGCAUACUGGCGGUCUUGAGCGAUCUAGGGGCAGAUGGAACAAGUGGUGGAGCGGUGAAAUGCGUAGAUAUCACUUGGAACGCCAAAGGUGAAGACAGUCUGCUGGGGAUCUGGCUGACGCUGAGACACGAAAGCCAGGGGAGCGAACGGG
rnacentral:rRNA from 1 species